rnacentral:rRNA from 1 species
UUUGACGCAGUUGCGCCCGAAGCCAUUAGGCUGAGGGCACGCCUGCCUGGGUGUUGCACAUCGUUGCCCCUGUGCCUUGGCCAUGUCCUAGGCACCGAGGGGGCGAAUGUUGGCUUCCCGCGAGCAUUGUCUCACGGUUGGUUGAAAACUGAGUCCGCGGUGGAGGGCGCCGUGAUGGAUGGUGGCUGAGUUAAUUCUCGAGACCGAUCGUGUGUGUCACCCCCACUAGCUUUGUGACUUUGUGACCCAUGGGGAUCUGUUGAUCGCCCAAGACGGGAACCUCAGGUCAGGCGGGGCUACCCGCUGAGUUUAAGCAUAUCAAUAAGCGGAGGAAAAGAAACUAACAAGGAUUCCCCUAGUAACGGCGAGCGAACCGGGAAGAGCCCACCA